rnacentral:lncRNA from 1 species
GAAAUGGUGAGCUGCAAGUACGGGGGCUCUUCCAGCCAUCAUAAUGUCCCUUUUGAAUACAAACAAUGCCACCUAUUACACAGAUGGCUCCACACUGGAAGGGAAUUAUCAAGCAAUCUGAGCAUGUUACAUUACAACAGUGGAAACGUGAAAGAGUUUCCGUCAGCUCGAGCUUGCAGAAAAAUCCACUUUCAUCACGAACAGCAAGAUGGCAACAGAUGUGGAUUGGUGACCACAAAGAACAAGCACACCUCUACCAGCCCCAGUGGAGAUGCAGGUGGGGAUGUCACCCGCCCGCCAUGCGUCCUGCAGUGCCAGCCAGCUGUGCUGCAGGUGCCAGCAUACCCAGAAACAAAAAUAAUGAAGGAAAGUGAUGCGGGGAGGCUUCAUUAUAAUCAGUACACAGAAGUGCCACCGCACACUGCUAAUAACAUCCCUCACAUCUGACGUUUUAUUUCAGUCACAGUGGUAGCGUGGAACCUAAGAUAAAAGCUGGUGGGUAAUGAGGAAAGCAAUAAUAAAAAAUGAUGUUUAAAUCUGCA